AUUGAACGCUGGCGGCAGGCCUAACACAUGCAAGUCGAACGAGUGGCGGACGGGUGAGUAAUGUCUGGGAAACUGCCCGAUGGAGGGGGAUAACUACUGGAAACGGUAGCUAAUACCGCAUACCAUCGGAUGUGCCCAUAUGGGAUUAGAUAGUAGGUGGGGUAACGGCUAACCUAGUCGACGAUCCCUAGCUGGUCUGAGAGGAUGACCAGCCAAACUGUAACGAAGACACGGUCCAGACUCCUACGGGAGGCAGAAGUGGGUAAUAUUGCACAAUGGGCGCAAGCCUGAUGCAGCCAUGCCGCGUGGAUGAAGAAGGCCUGCGGGUUGUAAAGUACUUUCAGCGGGGAGGCGUUACCCGCAGAAGAAGCACCGGCUAACUCCGUGCCAGCAGCCGCGGUAAUUC
rnacentral:rRNA from 1 species